ACGCCUCUAAGUCAGAAUCCGUGCUAGAAACGAUGAUGUUGGUCCCGCACAUACGAGUUGUGUUUAAAUAGAGCUUUGCUCGUGAACCAAAUCUGGUCGGCUGGGCCAAUCGAGCGGAAAUGCUCGGUUGGUUUGUCGGCGAAUUGCAAUCAUCAUAUGGGCGGGGGUGAAUCCUUUGCAGACGACUUGAAUGGGAACGGGGUACUGUAAGCAGUAGAGUAGCCUUGUUGCUACGAUCUGCUGAGGUUAAGCCCUUGUUCUAUAGAUUUGU
rnacentral:rRNA from 1 species